rnacentral:lncRNA from 1 species
GUUUUUUUUUUUUUUUUUGGUUUUUCUCCGGUACCGGGAACGGAACUCAAGACCUUGCGCUUGCCAGGCAGGCGCUUUUGCCACUGAGCUAAAUCCCCAGCCCCCUUAUGUAAAACAUUUCUCCCCCGUUCCAAUGUCUUGAAUUGUUUCCCAGAUGUAUUUUUUAGUAUUUUCAGAGUUGCAAGGUUUUAAACUAGUUCUUUCAUCCAUUUUGAGUUGAUAUUUGCAACAGAUAAGAAAUAGUGGUCUAGUUUUAUUCUUCUGUAUAUGGACAUCCUGUUUUCCCUGUUCUAUUUAUUUUUCCUCCAAAACAUGUCCUUCUUACUAUUCUUUAUUAAAGUGAUGAUUUUGAGGCUCCUAGAAUAAUAAAAACGACUAGUGAUUUCAAUAAUUUCCAUUUAUUGAGCAACUGCUUUAUAUUCAAUGCUGUGCAGAGGAUUUUGACAUAUAUCAUCAUUCUUUUCGUUUCCCCAACAACAUUGCAAGAAAGGUAACAUAUGUGACUGAUGCUAUUUUAAAUACUUCUUCUAUAGGCACUCAUUCAGUCCUCAAAAUAACCACAAGGUAUGCUUUAUUAAUAUCCAUGUUUUACAGAUGAGAAAACUAAACAGCAAAAAGAAUGAGAAGCUCACCUGAAGUUAAAGAGCUCAGAAGUUCCAAGUAGCAGAACAAGGAUUGAAAACUUGUCAGUCUAAGUGUGGAAGAUGUUCUUAGGCAUAAGGAGGUGGUACUAUGCCACAAAAGUGCUCCCAUUAGAAUAUUCAUGGAAAAGUAAGCAAGCAAUCAAAAAGGGAGACCUUAGACAACAUCUAUCACUUCAUUUACCUACAAGUGGAGUGGCAGGAAUGAAAGGCAAGCCUGUUGGGCUGGAGAUUUAGUUCAGCUGCAUAGCACCUGCCUGGCAAGCACAAGUCAUGAGUUCGAUUCCCAGUACUGGAAAAAAAAGAAAACAAACAAAAAAAAAAGAAAAGCAAGCCUGUCGUAUUUGGCUUUUUUUCAUGAUGCAAAGUGUUUCCAGUUGUGUACUUUGCAAACACACACACAAACACACACACAGAGUGAAGCUGAUUAAUUUGGAGAAGACUGUACAAUAAUGAAGCCUUCCAACCCAUAAAG